rnacentral:lncRNA from 1 species
CAACGCCACCUCACGCCACGUGGCCUUACCGUCGCAGUACAGCUGGUCGCCGCCUCCAAACAUGACCUGGGGCGGCCAAGGGGCGUCAAGCAACACCGGUAUUAAACUCGCCACGACAAGCACAACCCAGAUGAAUAGCAACAAUAUCAACCUUUACCCCAUGCGCUCACGUGGAUGGGGUCGCGCUGGUGCACGUGCAUCACGUCCCGCCACAGCGGCUGGAUGCCGCCAUGCGCCAGCUCGUCGGCGGGGUCGUGGAAGCCGUUGCAGGAGUGGAAGCCCCAGUGCCACUUCUGGUUGGCAGAGGGCAGCUGGAUGUUGUACUUCUUGUGGGUGGUGAAGAAGUGGUCGGUGGAGCACACCACGCAGUACUCGAGGGUGGCGGGCGCGCCGCCCAGCUGCAGCGCCAGGUCCCAGCGCCAGAAGUUGUAGCCGGCGUAGGACCACAGCCGCACCGGGUUGCGCAGCACCACGUCACUGCCGUGCUGCUGCUUUUCGCUGUGCAUAUUAGAGGGGGCAGGCAGAGGGAUUGGGUGUUCCAGGCAUGCGUACGGUAGUUGAGUGAUGGUGCGAAGAGAAGGUGCGAGCAGCGUGGCGCGUCGAGGGCAUGUUGCCCGAAGGCGGGGGCAUGGGUCUGGGGGAGGUCUCGCCCACAAGGUUCCCGCAUGCGAACCGAGCGUGGCCUCGACUCACCGGUAUCGCAGGCACGGCGGCAUGGGGCUCUUGUUCUGGUGGAUGAUGACCAUCACCGACAGCUCGUACAGGUGGCUGGAGGGCGUGUAGCCCUGGAAGCGCACGUAGGGGCCGUACGUGUCGUCCAGCGGCGCCGGCCCGGAGAAGUUGGGGUCUACCGCGGGGCCGUUAUGGCCGGCGGCGGCCUGCAAAUCAGACCGGGGGGCACAUUUCGGACACCCGUGUAUAGAAAGCACUGCCUAUUGCACUGGCUGCAUCAUAUAGCCGCAGCACGGCAGCCAAGGCCCAGGCUUCCAUAUGCACAUGUAGCGUGCCGAAUGCUCACCCCGGUUGCCCCGCCAGGGCUCUGUUCUGUCGGCGGCCGGUUGAGCAGGCCGAACUUGGAGGGCGACAGCGGCGACGUCUGCAGGGCGGCCACCUCCUCAUGCGGUGGCGGAGCCCGCGAACACAGGCCCGUUGGGGGCGGCACCACCGUCACUGCGGGGGCACAACAGGUUCCCACUUCCCCGGUGAGGCACGGAAAUGGCCUCGUCCCGGAAGGCGCCGCGACACGUCCCCGUGGAUGCGCCUGGAUGCCUGGCUGCCUGCCCUUCCGUACGCAUCAACAGCUGCCAUUGCGCAUGGCAUUGUAUGCUGCCCCGCAAUGUGCAACGAGUGCCACGCCCGCCAACCGCUGCACCUCACCUCCAGCCUGCAGCUGCUGUUGCUGCAGGGCCGCCGCGUUGGCUGCGGCCGGCAGCGAGGGGUCUUGGGCACCCUGGGCUGCAGCAGCCGUGUCCUUCCCGCGCCCGAACAAGCCGAAAAGCCGCCCCGGCGACAGGGUGCGUCCCGGCUGCUGCUGCCCUUGCUGGUCGGGGUCCGUGCUGGGUGCUGCAUUCUGCCCCGGAGAGCCUUGCUCUGCAGACGGCGGCAAGCGUUCCGCAGAAGCGUGGCUUAGUCAGAGCCCUGCCCGGCAUCCAAUUGUCACAUCAGUGCGUAGGCAAAAGCCAUGCUUUACAUGCAUACGUAGGUGUGGCAGUGGCAGCACGGUGCUCAGUCCCGAGGAACGCCUAGUGUCUCCUUUUUAGCGCCCGCAGACCUGGCUUGUUCUUUGAGAAGAACCGCAUGAACCCAGUCCGGGGCGGUGGGCUGGCGCUGUCUGGCGCGCCGGCUGGCGGGGCACUGCUACCCGCGCCAGCCGGCGGUGGGGUGCCGGCCGGGGCUGGAGGCGGGGGUGGUGGAGGCGGGGGAGCGCCAGGACCAGGGCCACCUGGCACCGCUGGGUAAGCUGGCGGGGGGGCCCCGCCGUACUGAGGAUGCUGCUGGCCAGGUGGAGGGUACAUUCUUCUAGGUGCCUGCUUGCUGCAGCGACGCGGGGGCGGAGUUGACCGAAGUCACAACUUGUUUCUGAUGUUGCGGGAGCUCUCCACGUAUUCCCCCGUCGGUGAGCUGCGCUCCCGUUAAGUCAAUAGCAAUGCAUGCUUAACCCAAGCGCGUCUAUAAUCGCAUGUAUAGCACUUUCUGGGCAGGCGUAGUCGAAACUUGAGUGGAGGUGUGUGAACGAGCUUCUCGGGCAGCCUACUGGCUAGUCAUUACUGCUCGUGAGAAUUGUCUGGCAGACUGCAAGUAGGUAAUGUGGAAAAGCCACUGACCCGACCCGAGCGACUGCCAAGUGCAUUUGCCCGACAGAUGUGGCCUAACUCCCAGACAGUGCAUGAAGAAGGUGGUAGCUUGCAAGGCCAUCUUUCCAAUGCAGUGUCUGGGAGUCAGGGGAAGAGGAAGGGUUGGGCUGCAGCGAGUGCAAACCCUUCCACUGCCAAGCGCGCGAUUAUCAUAGACUUCACGCAGCUAAGAUCUCAUACAGAUGAGCUAACAACCUCGAGUGACCUGCGUCCUGCUUAACGGGUCGGCUCAAGCUCAUUUGCACAUUUGCUGGUCCAAACGAGCGCCAGUCCACACCGCCAAACCCUGCCGCGCCCAGCAGCCCACCAGCCCAGCAAUAAGCAGGCCAAUUACGUCAGCACGGAAUGCAUCACGCCUGCAAGCGCGCUCGAAGGCUCGAAGUCGGCAUCGUACAGCCCCAUUCCGGGGCGGGGGAGUGCUUAUAAGCAACGGCGCCCGAUUUGCCAGGCAUUCACAGCUCUGCUUUUACUCCCCUUAACCUUACAUUAUCAUCCCAGUUGGGACGCGGGUCAUUACCCCUCGCGAACCCAGCGUAGGAAAAGCUCCCUUCUCCUUCCCCUGAUUUUCUCCGUCUCCUCCCUUCGCAACCAUGCGUGAGGUCAUCUCCAUCCACAUCGGCCAGGCCGGUAUCCAGGUCAGUUGACAGAGCGAGAGCGCGCUGGGACGUCGUUGCCGAGUUUGAAUCGCCUUGCCUCCCCCCCGCGGCCUCCAGCUGUGUCCGAUUAGCCUUGCUACUUUGCUGCUUGCUGUGGCCAUGAGUUGCUUCUUUCAAGCGCUUGUGCCAAGUCGCGGCGAGCUACACCCCCCCGCGUUCAAACUUCGAGGAUCUUGGCGCUGACAUUGCUCGCUCCCGCUUCCUCCCUUGCCCGGACAGGUGGGCAAUGCCUGCUGGGAGCUCUACUGCCUGGAGCACGGCAUCCAGCCCGAUGGCCAGAUGCCCUCCGACAAGACCAUUGGCGGUGGCGACGAUGCCUUCAACACCUUCUUCUCGGAGACCGGUGCCGGCAAGCACGUGCCCCGCUGCAUCUUCCUGGACCUGGAGCCCACCGUGGUGGAUGAGGUCCGCACCGGCACCUACCGCCAGCUGUUCCACCCCGGUGAGUGACGCCAAUUCCACAUGUCACGCGACGUCGAGCUUCUGUUGAGCAGCUGGCCCAUUGUUAAAUGUGCAUGCUUAGGCGCUCGACAGCCAAAUGCCCAUGGGCGUGCAUAUCUUACAGCCCAGUUUUCGUACCCUUGACUGCGUUUCCUCGUCUCGCUCUUAACAUUGCCUUUACCCCCUUCCCGCCCACAGAGCAGCUGAUCUCCGGCAAGGAGGAUGCCGCCAACAACUUCGCCCGCGGCCACUACACCAUCGGCAAGGAGAUUGUCGACCUGGCCCUGGACCGCAUCCGCAAGCUGGCCGACAACUGCACCGGUCUGCAGGGCUUCCUGGUCUUCAACGCCGUCGGCGGUGGCACCGGUUCCGGCCUGGGCUCUCUGCUACUGGAGCGCCUGUCGGUCGACUACGGCAAGAAGUCCAAGCUGGGCUUCACCGUCUACCCCUCGCCCCAGGUGUCGACCGCCGUCGUCGAGCCCUACAACUCGGUGCUGUCCACCCACUCCCUGCUGGAGCACACCGAUGUCGCCGUGAUGCUCGACAACGAGGCCAUCUACGACAUUUGCCGCCGCUCCCUGGACAUUGAGCGCCCCACCUACACCAACCUGAACCGCCUGAUCGCCCAGGUCAUCUCGUCGCUGACCGCCUCGCUUCGCUUUGACGGUGCCCUGAACGUGGAUAUCACUGAGUUCCAGACCAACCUGGUGCCCUACCCCCGCAUCCACUUCAUGCUCAGCUCGUACGCGCCCAUCAUCUCGGCCGAGAAGGCGUACCACGAGCAGCUGUCGGUGGCCGAGAUCACCAACGCCGCCUUCGAGCCCGCCUCGAUGAUGGUCAAGUGCGACCCCCGCCACGGCAAGUACAUGGCCUGCUGCCUGAUGUACCGCGGUGACGUCGUGCCCAAGGACGUUAACGCGUCCGUGGCCACCAUCAAGACCAAGCGCACCAUCCAGUUCGUCGACUGGUGCCCCACCGGCUUCAAGUGCGGUAUCAACUACCAGCCCCCCACCGUCGUGCCCGGCGGUGACCUGGCCAAGGUGCAGCGCGCCGUGUGCAUGAUCUCCAACAGCACUGCUAUCGGCGAGAUCUUCAGCCGCCUGGACCACAAGUUCGACCUGAUGUACGCCAAGCGUGCCUUCGUGCACUGGUACGUCGGUGAGGGUAUGGAGGAGGGUGAGUUCUCCGAGGCCCGCGAGGACCUGGCUGCCCUGGAGAAGGACUUCGAGGAGGUCGGCGCCGAGUCCGCCGAGGGCGCUGGCGAGGGCGAGGGUGAGGAGUACUAGACUCCUGGCAUGGCAUCAGGGUAGCAGCAAGUGUAGUGCUUUGCUGUUUGCCCGUCAAGAUGAACAGCGGUUGCUAGGUUGUGGAUCGAAGGAUCUAGCUAAUGACGUUGCAUCGUUAGCGUGGACGGGCACCCGUGCAUGAGUCUGAACACAUACUUGCUGCCUGAACAAACAGCAGUGGCUGCUAGCUUACAAGUGGACAGAAGGGUCUAGCUAGUGACGUGACAUGCGCAAGCGUGUGCGGACACCCGUGCAUGAGUCUGAACACUUGGCUGCUGCCCACCGGAACAAUGGUGCUGUAAUGGACUUGGAAGUCUUGCGAUUGGUUCCUCGCCCAAAAGGUUCUGGGACAACCGUAGUGCCGAUGGGGACUGGGAGUCAUGCACAGCUUGAUUUGUCAGCCUGUAACAUGCUGGCCAGAGUGCGGAGGUACCGUGCACGUCGGGUUGCUGGUAGACCCGCGGAGUCCUCUCCUUGAAAGAUGCCGUGAAAGCUUAGGCCAAACAGACUGCAAUCCACGCGGGCGGGGCCUCGCCCUCGCCAACCUGCCUUGAACCCUGUCCCAUCACACAUCCACGCGGGGCUGGACACGUUGCGUGCCGCAAUACACAAUCUGUUCGCACGCUUGCUUUCCACGCCGCAUGAACCUACCCCAGCUUUACAUUUUAUCUACAUGAAAAUCCAUGCGUCAAAUUGCUUAAGUUCCAGCGAUGCUAUUUCUCGCUGAGUGGGCGUGCACUGCUUCGGCUCGUCGCCUUAUUCCAUCACAUCAGUUGACUGGCAGCAUAAUAUGUGGGCCACGUCAUCAUUAUGACCUAGCAAAACAUGUAUCGAUUGUGCUAGAGCCGCUAGGAGCAAGAGCCCACCAAACUGUCGCCGAUGCGCACUCGCCGCGGGCUUGCUCGUCGGCCGGUCUUGUCGCUGGCUUGGCGAGUCGAUAUUUAGCUUCACUGUGGAGUCUCUUAGACACCAACGCGACUUCGCCGGUGCCAGGGGUGGCGCGGUGGGCGCACACGCGCGCGCCUCGGGGCCCCCAACCUGGCCUUGUCACACCGCCGCCCCCGGGCGUUGAAAGGCAGCGCGUUCGGGCCGAGCGUGCGGCACGGAGCCAGGCCGCAGCCAUACAGCGGAUACGGCAGUGCUAUACGCUGCAGGAACUGGGAGACAUCGUCCUCCGACAUGCUCAAGUAAGGGCACGAGUAGCACACGCGCAGACGGCAUGCCUAGUGCGAGCGUCCGGUCUGUUUCACACACCCUCACACCCGGCAUCACACCCGCCCACAGGCCCUGUCGCCGGCCCUGCUGGUGCAAGCAGCCACUCAGGCGCCGCACACUGUGCCCUGGCCGCUCAGCCAGGCCGACCGCGCACGACUGCACGACCUGAUGGGCCAACUAGCCGCGCAGUGCGCCAUGUGAGGAGCGGGUUGCGGGGCGGACAGGCGCCCAGCGGGAGGGCGGGCGGGCGGGCGAGCCAUCUGGGCCUCAACAUUCGCAUAAAAAUCUGGUUCCGGGUCGCCUUGACAGGCAUGGUGGUUGCAAGGUGACGUUUGGUAACACGCCGUGGCGUCCUCUGCGCCGUUGCUGGUCUGCCAUACGCAGGCGGCUGGAGGAGUAUAGCCUGGAGCAGCUGGCAGCGGUGCUGGCGGGCUGUGUGCGGGCGCGCUAUACGCCCACAGAGCUGCUGCUGCCGCUGCAGCUACGGCUCAAGUCAGAGGCGCGUGGUGACAUGCAGGUGCGCACGCUGCUUUGCCGAAGAAGUGCCGCUUCCCGCGUGUCGGCGCGACGGCAUCCCCUUCCUCGUGCGUGUCGGCGCAAGGCCAGGUGCCGCAUGCGUCCACUGGCGUGAGGCACACGUAUGGCUGCCGCGCGCAGGAGGAGGCGGCGCACGUGGCUGCCAUUGCAACCCACCUGUCGCGCCUGCGGGUGGGCGACGAGCGCACCUGGGCGACGCUGGAUGCGACGGCACGGGCCUGUGGGCCGCAGGCGGGCUUCACACACCUGGCAUCGCUACUGGCGGCGCGAGUGCGAGCGGGCGUUGCGUCCAGCGGUGACGACAGCAGCAGCGGCAGCUCGCGGGGUGAUGAGGGCUCUGCGGCGUCAUGGCUUGUGGAGCAGGUGGAGCGGGCGGCGGUUGCAAACCUGCACGCUGCAUCACCUCAGGUGAGACCCACGUCAGCGGCUGCCGGAGCCUUGAGCGUGGCCUGUGGUGCACGCCCUGUCAGACGCGGCCGCGGGCUGGUAUUGGGCGCGUUGGGGCCACUGCACUCCAGAAGACCGGGUCCGGAUAGCACGCCGUCACUUGCGUGUUUCCUCGAUCGAUAGUUUAGGGUGCCCUCGCAUGGCUAUCCGACGGCUUCCUGUUAAAGCCUAUUACCGGUAUAUCCUCAGGAGGUGGCCACACUCAUGUGGGCCCUGGCGCGCUGCAGCCGGCCCCCCAGCCGCUCGCUGGUACGGGCUCUGCGCACCCACCUGGACAGCAGCUUGCAGCAGCAGGACACGCAAGGGGCCGCGCAGGGAACGGCAGUGGGCAGCGGCGGGCCCGGCAGUGGGCAGCCGUACAGCGGUGUGCAGCUGGCGGCAGUGGCGGGCGCGUGUCAGAAGCUGGGUGUGGUGGACCGCCAGCUGAGCUGGCAGCUGGCCACGGCUGGGGCACAGGUGAGCACGUGUGGGCGGGCAGGGGUGGAUAUUGACCUUGGAUACGGGGAGCAGUUGACUACCUGCAGAGCGUAGCAGCCUAGGUUUGACACAGCCCUCAAUGGCAUUGUGCUGCGCUGCGGUCACAGGCGUUACGUGAUGAGGCGACGGCCCUGCGCAUGCCGGUCCCAGCCGCCGGCGCCGCUGCGUCCCGGCGUGCGAAGUUUAGCAUCGCGGGCGCCGCCGCGCCGGUGGAUAGUCAAGCGGUGGCGGUGCUGGUGGCGGGCGUGAAAGACGUGGCAGGCAGGCCGCGGCCACAGCCCAGGCCGCCUUCCACAGCGCCUGUAACUGCUGAGGCUGCUCCACCUGGCGCCGCUGCUGCCACAGCCCCGCCAAAUGCAACAGCCGGCGGCGAAGCUGCUACAGCGCCUGUGAAUUCUGCGGACGAAGCAUUGGUCCGGCUGCUACGCGCGGCCACAGACGUGCUACUGACCCUGCACAAGGCUGGCAUCCAAGAUCCAGGUAGCGGGCGGGCCCGUCAGGUGGGUGGGCUGGACGUGGAGCACGUGGCGGCGGUGGCGGCGGCGGCUCAGGACGCUGGCCUGGCGGACGAGAGUGCAGCCCUUCAGGCGUUGGUGGCUGAGCUGCCAUGGUGAGUGCGGUACAAUGCUGGUGGCUACAUGUUCCGCUGGCUAGGUAUUGUUUGCUGCUGUUGCACCAAGUGCAUGAUUAGGUCCGGCUGCUUACGUAUACCUCACACGACUACCGCCCAUAUCUAUCAUGCCACUGUAACUGUAACAGUAACUUGAGAAUCACCCCCACCACGUCCUGUCAUGCCACAGAUGCUGCCGGGGGCAUGAGGUUGCCGCGCGAGGCGCGGAGGACCUCCGCAGGCGAGCCAGGCGCAGAUGAGGUGCCAUGUGAGUGUUUGGGGGCGCCUGCAUAUGCUAGGGGAAAUGGAUUCGCGCAUGUUUGUUGCAGCAUGCCGUCUCAAAUGCACGGUAGCAGCCGCGACUCCCUUGAGCCGUAAGCAGCUGUUCCGACAUGCCGUAACCCGCGUGCCGCUUGCAAAGGCCCGAUGGUGUUCUAGGCGUGGGCAGCAUUUCCGAGGUGGGGGCCCCUGGCGUACGCUCACAUUGCAGCGGCCUAGGAGUUUUUAAUGCAGGCUUCUGCUUAUUGCCGUCUCUGCCGAUGUGCUAAAUGUACAGGCUGCAGCGGCGGCUUUGACCCCAGGGCGCGGCGGGCUUCUUAUUGAGGCUGCCGUCACGUGUGAUAGCUAGAAUGCAAAAGGGGCAGCUGUAGUUUGGGAAGCUGGGACAUGGAAGUCGAACGCACGGUACGGAGCAGCAGCGGCAACUGGCAUGAUAGGCGGGCAAGAGACCAGGCAGGACCAGGCAAGCAGCUAGGAUGCAAUGGCUUGCAGCUGGCCAUUCCUUACGGGCCCACCGUGAUCCUGAUGUUAUUUGCGGGACUGUGCACGCCGCAAUCAAGUGCCAGGUCGAGGGGCAGAGGAGCCCGGACUAUCCGUUGGGGGCUGAACUAAUCCAUGCAAUGUAGGCGUGACGCCACAUGGCAGAGCAAGCUUCUUCUCUUCAUGGCAGUCGCAUUGGCUGGUGGAGUGAUGAUUAGUGGCCUAGUGGGCUCCGGCGGUGUGAAGAUUCCUACGCCUAAGCCGCUGCCAAUUGUAUGCCAUUUAUUGGGUUCUGGGAAUCAGCUGCACCCUACGGGACUUUAUCAGCUUGCCUUGCCACUGUCCCAUCACACACUCCUACGCCUAAGCCGGCCAUAGAUUGAGGUGUAUAGUGCGACGUCGGAGUAAGGAAUGAAGCAAAGUUGGGCUCCAUGUGUCGUGUUCUUGCUACGUGAGCGUGGUUCGUUGUUGGUGCCCGCCGGGCCAUGGGGCCUGAUGGGGCCUAACAAAAAGACCUGGCAGGCACGGACCGGGACUCGUCCGGCCAGCCUCGGUGCCUUGGCCACACGCCCGCCAGCGGCCCGCCUAACCGGCCUUGCCCAGCAGAGCCUCGCCAGCACCAUGCCAACCCCGCACGCUUGCGGCCGUUUAUGGCUCCGCGGCUCCGCCUCCCUCAACCGUUGGUCUGCCCGUGUCCCCCCAAGUGUCCCCCUCCCUGCCCUUCCCCACGGUCACACAAACGGCAUCACGGGCCCGCCUCGCCUCGCCGCCAAGGCAGGGAUCCCUGUUCCACGUCCAUAAUCAACACCUAGGGCUAAGGUACCCGGCAGAUGCACACGUCUCAAUGUCUUCGUGACACAGGCAUGUAGCUGGCUAGGCUCCCUUGCUGGACGUAGGGGGGCGCUGCCGCACGCUCGGCUCGGGAACAGGGCGCGGCCCCGAGGCGCCCGCACAGCGCGACUCCUGACGAUACGCGCGCUACUUCUUUUGACCCCUCAAGGAGCUUCUAUGAAGCCUGCGGCCCGCCAGGGCACCUGAGCAACAAAGCACAUUUGCCGAGUGCCAACUUCAAGCGACAGCCGCGGCCGCCAAAGCAGGCAAGCGCAGCAGAAGCGCUCCCGUGAGUGCUUUAUAUUUGUAUUGUGCUGCAUGCGCGGUGGAGGGCGGCGCCAGGAAUUCAAACGAAGCCUCAUUGCGGCUCCCGCCCUAGUCGGCGCGCCUCGUUGAAAGCCCUGCUCCCACCCUUGAAAUAUACAUUUAGACCAAGCGACUAAUAGGCCGCUGUGACGCGUCGCCGCCUUUUAGACCACACACCGCCACUUUGAAGCGCAUCUUCUGAAAUGGCGUUGCCCGGCCAGACGACCCCUGAGGGCGUGCCUGCCUUCAAGCUAGUGCUUGUGGGCGAUGGUGGCACUGGCAAGACCACCUUCGUUAAGCGCCACAUCACUGGCGAGUUCGAGAAGAAGUAUGAGCCCACGAUCGGCGUGGAGGUCCGCCCCCUGGACUUCACCACCAACCGCGGCAAGAUUCGCUUCUACUGCUGGGACACUGCUGGUCAGGAGAAGUUCGGUGGCCUGCGUGACGGCUACUACAUCCACGGCCAGUGCGCAAUUAUCAUGUUCGACGUCACUUCGCGCCUUACCUACAAGAACGUGCCCACUUGGCACCGCGACCUUUGCCGCGUUUGCGAGAACAUUCCCAUCGUGCUGUGCGGCAACAAGGUGCGUGCUCUCGCCUCAGACUCGGGCCCGAUCUAGUCGCUGAGUCUCUCGGCCGCCGGAUUGGCGGCAAAAUGGCUCGCAGGUGGACGUGAAGAACCGCCAGGUCAAGCCCAAGCAGGUCACUUUCCACCGCAAGAAGAACCUGCAGUACUAUGAGAUCUCGGCCAAGUCGAACUACAACUACGAGAAGCCGUUCCUAUACCUGGCCCGCAAGCUGACCGGCGACCCCCACCUCAGCUUCGUGGAGGAGGUGGCUCUGCCCCCUCCCGAGGUGCAGAUCGACCUGGCGGAGCAGCAGCGCAACGAGGCAGAGCUGGAGCAGGCGGCGCAGCAGCCACUGCCCGCGGACGACGACGAUGAGGUGAGGGGUCUGGUGUGCGGCGUUGGGCUGCCGGGUAAACGGCUGCGGGCGUGCCCAUGGCGAUGCAUGAAGGUCCAGCUCUGUGCAGCUGUCAGCGUCGAGCAUCAUUCUUUCGGAUAAUUCCGCGUAGUAGCUUCUGUUGAACGCCCGCAUGCAUGCAAUGCGUAUGUCGACGACGGCUUUCUUCCCUCGUUAUCUCCCCAACUCCUGACUCGUGCUCUCGUGCCCUACGCAUCCCUGCUUCACCUCCUCAACCCACAGCUGCUGGACUAAGCGUUGCGGCGAGGAAGCAGCUUGCCUGGGGAAUGCUGGAGUGCCGUGCACUGCGGGAGCCUCACUCUUGCAAAUGCGUGUUAGGACAUGAGCGCAGGUGGUGUGAUGCAGGAGGUAGCAGAGAGCGCCAUUUGCGCAUGAUGCCACGGGCAAGCAAACUUCAUUUAGGGAGGACGUAGGCGUGCUGGAGACUAUGGACCGGACACUAACGAUUGACAUGGGGCAAUGACUCUUUAGGUAGGUGCACGUGGUGGCGCUGUUGCAGCGGUUGGUUCAAGUUUUGGGAUGGCGCCGCGGCCCCUGGGCGGGCAGUUGCAACGUCCCAUGGGCCACAGUCGGCUGGGUGCCAACAAGCUAUUGAUUGUGCUGCGCACGAAGAUAAAUAUAGGAAGCAAACGCGCGAUGUGCGGUGCUCGUGUGGGUGUUUGCGAGGCAUCGGGCCUGUCACAGUGCGUCGACAGGCCAGGGCACAGGCGCGAUAGGUCAGUAGACAUGAUGUCCCGUUGCGGCGGGCGGAGGAGUGGGCCAUAGGAGGCCCGGAGUGACCCUGGCCCGCCCUGCUAUUCAGGGGCGGGCAGGGAUGGAUGGCUCUGUAGGAGAGCGAAGCUAAUCUACGAGCGUCCCGUUGGCUCUGUUUCUUCUGGGUCUGGAUGGUGCCGGGGCGACAUGCAUGGUUAACAGGCGAAGGCAUUACAGUGGAUGAAUCAAAUCGCUCAAGUGGGUUACAUCAGGAGCACCUUCCAUUCCAGGGAAGCACGAGCAUGCGGUAGAUCACACGAAUGACGAGCAGGCAGGAGGUCACACAAAGUACAGUAUUCAGGUCACCAAUGCAUUUGCACAUCAUGAAUGUACAGCCCCACCAGCGCAGCCUACGACAGCCUACAGCCUCUCCAGCAGUCGUGCGUUAGCACUUAGCAGGGCCUCUAUCAUGGCUUGCCGGUCGCUGCCAACCAAGGGAAACGGCGGGUUGGACAGAGCGCCACCUGCCACCAUUGCCUUGCAAGCCGCGCCCCCCGCCGCCUCCUCCGAGCUCCUGGCCGCGUACACCGCAUCCAUCAGCACCACACCGUCACCGGUAAACGACGCUUCCCCCCGCAGCGAGUCCCCACUGUCGCCGAUUCCCACCAUCAUGCCCGCGGCGCCGCCCAGCCCCCCAGGCGCUGGCAGCGCCAGCGGCACCAGCCCCGCCUCUGCCCCUCGCGACGGCACCAGCGCGCCGCCGUCAUCCCAACAUCGUCCUGCCAUGCUGCCUUCGCCGGCCGCACUCCUCGUGCCUGGCCCCGCGCCUGCCGCGGCCGCGGCCAUAGCAGCCGCCUCCGGCGGCAGUGCACCCGUGGCGCUGAACUCACACAGCUGUGCCAUCCGCUGCGAGUUGAGCAGCGCUGCCCUCACCCGCGCCUGUGAGCGCAGCUCCUGCGCGCGCUCCGCCGGCGACUUGAACGCCCAGCGCGCAAAGUCCAGCGCCGCUUCCACGUAGCCCUCCACGCCCACCGGGUUGGCCACGCCCACCACCACCUGCUGCCCGUCCGGCAGCACCAGCUUGCAGUGGCUGUGGCCCGAGCUCAGCGUCAGCAGCGUGCGGUCAUCGAAGAUGGCGCGCACACGGCCGUCCUCGGAGGCGGUGAAGCGGCCGGUGCCGGGUACGCAGCUGUCCUCCAGCACCGCGUCGGAGGCGGCGGCGAAGAGCUCCUCGCUGGAGGCCGGCAGGGAGUCGAGAGGGUUUGCCAGGACGCCGGCGCCAGGCAGGCGGCUGCGGGAGCGUGCUCCGGCGCCGCCCGUGGCGCCGCCCAGCGGUGGAAGCGCGGCGGCCACGGGCGACGGCAGCCGCGCCGCUAUGGACGCCGCGACGUUAGUGUUAUGUGACCUGCAUGGGACGGAUUUAGCAGUGGCAAAGCUGUGAGCGCACCAAAUUUGUGCGCAAUGCCAUGUGACCACAUGCUGGCGCAGGACAAGGCACAGCUAGCACAAGGCUGCUCACAACACCGAGCAGCAUUUCCCUGCGCGAUGCAGCCGCACGCACCUGAGCUUCAUCGCAUGCGCCGCCAGCGUGCCCAGCGGGUAGCGGUACGUCUGGUCACGGCUCCACACUGCGUCGGGCACACAGUUUGCAGCGUACAGCUGCUCCGAGCCCACUCCGCCUCCGCAAUCGUUCGCUCCGCCGCCGCUGCGGUAGUGCGCAAUGAAGCGCCCGGCGCGCGUUGUGGCGAGGCAGGACUCGUCGGCGUGCACCCACACCUCCACCUCGCCCACGGCUUCCAGGAACUGGUACGUGGCGUGCGGCGUCCACUCAAACGCCACCACCACCUCUGGCGGCAGCAGCGACAGCGACGGCUCGCCCCACCAGCCGUCACUGCCCAGAGCCUCUGCCAGGCCGGCGCGCGUGCAGUGCAGUGCGGACGGCAGUACUGUUCGCCGUCGAGAGGUGGGCUCAGGCGCCUCCUCCGCGCCGCCCGGGCUGGUGCUUAGGCCAAAACGCAGCGACGCGAGUGGAGCCGCAGCAUUGGCCUUUGCGGCGCCGCCAUCUGGGUCCAACAGCGGCGUUGCCACCGCCGCGUCUGCACCAGCAGUCCGCUCCGCCCCUGGCGCCGCUGCCGUCGCCCGCUCCUGAUCCGCCGCCGCACCCGGCUGCCUGCCCGCCCCGAACUCCGCACCCGAGCCCACCGCAGCUGCGUCCAGCUCUGCGGCAGCCUGCAGCACCGCCCGCACCGCCGGCUGCCAACGGGGCGGAUGGCUGGCAACGCUGAACACCUGCGUCUGCCACACGUACUCGUACUUGGCCUCCUGCGGGCGCUCCGCCACCAGCAGCGGGUAGCACACUGCGAAUCGCCGCCGGUGGCUGUGCAGCACCACUUGGGCCACGCCGUCCUCGCUGCUGACGGCCACCUUGCCGUCAGGCUGCAGCUGCGCCAGGCCGGCUGAGAGCGCGACCGAUGGGCUGGGCCAGGUAGCGUCCUGGACCAGGUAGCCAAGCGCGAAGCUGGAGCGCAGCACGCGCGCAAGAGGCUUGCAGAAGCAGGGCAGCUCCACGUGCAUAUUCCGGAACUCCAGCACCGCCGCAAGGAGCGGGCUGUGCCGCGCAAGGGCGUACUCGCUCAGCUGGCGGGUGGAGCGGCCGUCGGGCGUGGUCACGAGGAAGGAGCUGCCCGUGCUGUUGAGCGACAGGAUGGUGUUGUCGCUGAACGUCGCCUUUGUGCGGCAGUCCGCCAGAAUGCACACGCGACAUAGGUCAGGGAGCUCCGCCACAGCAGUAGCCAUUGCGAGCAGUCGCAGAGGCCCAACGCCCGAGUUUGACUAUUCCCUUUGCAAGCUAAAUGCUGAUGGCUAGUCAUCAAGCCGGGCACAUCUAAUUUGGCUCUGCUUGCCAGGCUUCGUAUUUCCAAUUCAAUCGACAGCUGCUAGUUGCAAGAGGGAGCCCAGGACGCAAAGACGUCAGCAAACACGAUGUCAUAGGUCAGUUGUGUGCAAAAACAGUAUUGCGCUGCCCGCGACUGUGAUGUACGCAAUUGGCAGUUUCUGGAACCGGCCUUUCACGCAGGUUUGAUCGCUUGGGAGCAUUGAGCAUAAGUGCAUUUGUAUGGUCCAGGCAUAGCAGGCUCAUAGAGGCACUAGGUCCAAAAGACUUCGUGAAUUCCCGGCAGCUCACUAUCCCGUAUCCGUGUUACCUUGAGACCUGCCUGAAGCCAACUAUAAGAACCUGUGAGGUACCUUUCCUUCAUCUUCCUUGGACGGCGCUUGGGACCUGUGAGAAGGCCCGGACGCGACAUCCCCCACCCGCGUUUGGUGCAGCAGCGGCCCUGAGUCUGCAAAAUGGCCGACGACGGCGACCUCAUCGCCAACUUCCUGGCGAUCACUGGCGCGGAUGAGGGCGUGGCGAUUCAGUGCCUUGAGGCCGCCAACUUCAGCUUGGAGGAGGCGGUGAACCUCUUCUUCGCCGCGGACGGCAACUUCGGCGGGGGCGGAGGCGCUGGCGCUGGCGCUGGGGCCAGUAGGGGGGGUGUCGGGGGCGCCGGCGCCGGAGGCGCCGGGGGCGCCGGCGGCAUGUACGAGGACGAGGUCCGUGCACCGCUGCCUACCAAGGUGGAGCGGCUAUACGGCGACGACAACCGCUACGACCCACGCGCCAUGGCCGCAGCGCUACAGGCGCGCCAGCAGGGCCUGGCCGGCCGCCCCGCACACGCGCCCAUCGACGUCUUCCGCGAUUUCCGGGCCGAGUCCGCCGCUGCCGCCGCGGCAGCGGCGGCGGGCGGGUCAGCCGUCCCUGGCGCCGCAGGCGCCGCCCCUUCAGCUGCUCCGGCCGGUCUGUCUGGUCUGUUCAAGCUGCCUGAGGACCUGGUGUAUGCGGGCUCGGCGGAGAUGGCGCGGGCGCAGGCGGCGGCGGACGGGCGCUGGCUGCUGGUGAACGUGCAGAGCAACACGGAGUUCGCCAGCCACCGGCUCAACCGCGACACCUGGAGCCACGAGGCGCUCAAGGAGAUCCUGAAGGGCACCUUUGUGUUCUUCCAGGUGGGGGCAGCGGGAGGACGGGAGGCGCUUGAGAGAGAAUAAAAAGAGAGUGCAUGGCGAUGGGGAUGGCGAUGGAGAUGGGAUGGGGCUGGGGUUUAGGGCCGUGUGGGCUGCAAGGGGCCUUGCGCAUUGGGCAACACGAACCAUGCACGAGUGCGAGGCGCAAGACACGCAUGGUAUGGACAGCACUUGCUAGAUGUAGCCAGCUGGCCAACCCCAACCCAUCUGCGUUCCCACGCCCACACCCAGACCGCCCGCUUCCACAAGCUCUCACAUCCACACGCUCCCACGCACUCACGCGCGCACGCGCCCUGCCCGGCGCCCGCAGACUCUGGAGAGCACCACGGACGGGCGGGCGCUGGUCAAGGCCUACCGGCUGGACGCGCUGGCGCCGCCGGGCGGCCCGGUGUGCCCCGCCACCUUCGUGGUGGAUCCGGUGACGGGCGCGCAGCUGUGGCACCGGCUCGGCUUCAUAGACGCGGAGAAGCUGAUGGAGGAGCUGGUGCCGUUCAUGGACCACGGCCCGCUGGACGCAGGUGCGGGCGUGUGUGGGGUUGCGGGCGUGUGGGGGUUGCGAGGGCCAGGCCCAAAGGGUGGUGGGCGCCGCUGCAGGCUGCUGGGAUAUGCGGAAGGGCGUGCGGGGCCGCGGGCUGGGGGACGGGGUAUGGGUUUGAAGGGCUUGGCGGCGACUCGUCGGGAUUGGUGGGCUGGUGGGGAGGGAAUGUGCUGGACGCAGGCGGGGACGGAGUGUGAUGCGGGGCUGUGGGCCUUCCUUGGAAGAGGGCGUUGGCGUAAGGACCCAGUGCGGCCGCAGCUGGUAUGGGCAGCGCAUCACACCGCACCGUGCGCUUGCGGCUGGAACAGGCGCAGCCGGCAUCGCCCAGAUCAACAUGAAGCGCAAGGUGGCCAGCAGCACGGCGGUGGCGGCAGCAGCAGCAGCAGCAGCCGGCGGGGCGGCGGCGGGUGGCGGGGGCGGCGGCAGCCGCAAGGCGCUGACUGAGGAUGAGGAGCUCGCAAUGGCCAUUGCCAUGUCUAUGGAGCGAGGUGAGUGGGGGCAGGGGCGGGGGUAAUGGUGCUGCACAGCGGCACCGUGCGGCACCCGGGCACCCCAGGGGUUGCAGUGCUGCUUGUGCGGGCAUGGGCGCGGAGGGAGGCGCAUCAGCCGAAGGCUGUGAGAGGGCUAGCGGUCGCGGGCAUAAUACGGCAGAGGAGUUGCGGAGGAGCUAGCGCUGCAAGCACGUCCAGCGUCACUCAAGUGCAAGCCGCCGGGAGCGGCGAGGGGUACGGUGAUGUCCGCCGGCGCUUCCCGGCGCAAACACCCGUCAGCAGCAGCCCCUGGCAGCCCAGCUGCCCUUGCUGGCGGCUCCAGUGCUCCAAGCCUGUAUCCUCAGUAGCACCAACUCCAACCCACUUCCAACCCAACUAGGCGGCGACGGCGCGGGUCCCUCCGGCACCGACAUGGGCGGUGACAGCGCCGCUGCCGGCCCCAGCGACGGCAGCGAUGACGACGACCUGGACGAGGCGGCCAUCUGGGCGCAGAUCCAAGCCAAGGAGCGGGCGGAGGCGGAGGCGGAGGCCGCGGCGGAGGCGGCGAUCAGCCGGAAGUCGCCAGAAGAGGUGGGGUGAGGGAGGUGGGGUGAGGGAGGUGGGGUGAAGGGCCAGCGGCGGAAUAAAGCCGGGUAGCCUGGCAAGGUGGGAGGGAGCAGCGGGGUGGGUGCGGGUGGCAAGGACGGCACCUGGAGCAAGCGAGGACCCACAGCCGUGCUCGCAUACUUGCUGACCUUUGCAAACCUGGCGCCACUCGAACAGGUGGCUGCGGAGGCGCUGGCGCGGGUGCCUGAGGAGCCGGCGGAGGGCGACCCCGCGGCGCUGCGAGUGGCGCUGCGGCUUCCGGACGGCGGGCGCCUGAUGCGGCGCUUCCGCAAGUCGGAGCACGUGCGCUGCCUGUACGACCUGGCGCUGGCCAAGGUGCCGGAGGCGGCGGCGGGGAGGAGGUGAGCGCGGGGCGGGGCGUGUGUCGUGUCGUGUGUCUGUCGGUUCGGGUUGCGUCUGAGCCAUGUCGUGCCAUGUGGCGGCCCCUGACUGGCCCACUCCUCUGAUGCUACCGGCCCCGAUGUCGCAGUGUGACGAUCUCUCAUGCCACGCCGGGCGGCGCAGCGCUCACGGACCAGGACCAGACGCUGGAGGCCGCGGGCGUGGCGGGGGCCAUGUUGGCCGUGAAGCUGGGGGAUUGAGGGGCCGGGGGCUGGGCGGUGGAGGGGCGCUGAAGGGGUGCUAGAGGGUGGGGGUUUACCGGUACUGAGGGUGGUGGGUCUCGACAGUCGGCACGAAGGCUUGGUUCACUGGGGUGUUGUACAACAAUGCCGCGGGCAGUGGUUGGCCUGGGGAUGACUUGCGCGCUAGCCGUGUUGCAUGCUCGUAAGACUGGGACGGCUUCUUAGUUGCUUGGCAAGAGCCCGCGUUGCUCACACAUGCCCUGGGCAGGCUGGUCAGGGUACUGGCUACUGGCUAGGACCAGGCGUGGGGGGCAGGCCGGGCCGCCGAGUGAGGGGAGCCCCCGAGGAAUGGGCCGCAGAGCUGCAAGGCUCAAUACUAAGCCCGGCACUGAACCAACGACCCCUGGAACCAACAGGCGGGGUGUUUCCCUUCUGACUUGCCCCAAACCGCACCAGUCUUGAAGGUUGAAUCAACCUGCUACCAGGUAACAAUAUAUACACCGUAAGGCGCGCUUUCAAGACACCGCAAACUGGUGUCUCGAUCGUGCCUUCUCUGCGCCAUCCUAUCACGAUCAUGCACACGUAUGCACAUGCUUCGCGCCUUGCACGGGCACUGCCCCCAGCCGCCCAGCCUGCCAUUUUGUACCCCGGUAUGGCUGCGAGGAUUCCAGAUGAAGCGCGCAAACGGAACCUGCGCCAUUGCUUCAGGAGAGGGCGAAAGGCCGGGAGGAUUGGGGGACCGGGUGGCAGGGGGGGUUCGCUUAACCUGGUGACCCUCGGGUCAAAGAAGCUCCUCCCGCCGCACGUCCGCCCACGCGACCAUACUGUGGAGCAGCAUGGAGAGCAAGGGCUGCAUGCCUGCAUCUGCUUGUUAGCGCUCGCGGCCGAUCCCUAAGGCGCGAGCCGCGAGGCAGCGAUCGGGAGCAGUCUCGGAAUGCACCGUUUCUUUUGUUGCCUUACCCUGACCGCUGCAGUGCUCACCACUACUCUAUCUGCACACAUAUGAUGAAUGCAAGAUCAAACACGUCACUACUGUCAAGCCUGACCAGGCAAAACACGAAGACCAACGCAAUUCCCGCAAGAAUGUCUCACGCUUCACAGCAGAACCCGAAGUCGCUUAUCAAUCAAUUUUACCAAAGAGCCAAAGGCCCACAACCCCGCUAUGAUGCGGUUCCGGCGCCCAUUGAUGGUGCCGUUCAGCGUUUCGUCUGCUCGGUCACGCUGCCUGGGGUGACCGUCGAGGGAGAGACUAUGCCUGAACAGGUGUUCCAAGAGGAGGGGCGAAGCAAGAAGGCAGCAAUGGUGAGCGGCUAGCGUCGCGGGGUGAAGGGGUAUGGAGGGUAGCGCGGGGUUGUGGGUGUGGUGAAGGCACCACUGUCUCAGAGCUCUUCCCAGUUGACACCAGUGGUCGGACCAGCUGUUGCGGAUGGCUCGAUCGGACUGUACAUGCAUCGCAUGCUGCAUGCCUGUGCCUUAGGGGCCGGAAGGGGCGACUGGGCUGUAGCGGAGGAUGAGCGCCAUGUAGGUUAGGUGGCGGCAGCUGACGGGCCACAGUCCAUGGCUGCGGGGCUGCAGGUGUAUCCGGGGCACUCCUCAGUCGCGCACAUAACGACACGCCGCGGAACGCGCGCCGCUUUGCAUCGCACCAUUCCACCGUUCCAUGUCUUCUUCUCUGCCUCAUGACCUCUGCAACACACGCCCCGACAUCUGUGACCGCCGCCGCCCCCAUCCCCCAUGACCCAUCCAUCCCUCAUCCCCCGUCAGGACGCCGCCGCCGCCACCGCCUUCGCCUUCCUGGCCGAGCAGCCCGCGUACGGCGCCACCAAGCCCUACGAGGAGUCGCUGGUGCGCACACUGGCGGCCCGGGUGCUCAGCCCGCAGGUGCGCCGGGGGGUGGUGGGGGCGGGCGGUGGGGUUGUGUGAGAUCUCGACACGGCACGGCUGGCUGGUCUGGCUGGGCUCUUCUGGCGGGAAGAUGAGAGGCAGUAAAGGAUUGUAACCAGCGGCGUUGCAAGCUCGAGUAGCUUGACUGAAGGCCAUGCCUCCUGCUCCGCCGCCUCCUCGUCCUCAUCCGUUCAGGGCCUGUAUCGUGACCCCGAGGUGCACGGUGUGGCGGUGGCGGGCGCCGCCUACCACGACGGCUGGCUGCCGCUGAGUGGACUGGUGCACAGCCGCAUGCUGAGGGGCUGGGCCAAGGAGUACGGGCCGGGAGCGGGAGCGAGCGGCGGGGCCGAGACGGCGGGAGGCGCCGUCGCAGUCGACCCGGCACUGGUGCGCUCGGGGUGUACCGGUCGUGUGGGAGCGGUGCAGGGGCGGGUGGCCGCAAGCGCUGGGGUGCCGGUGGUGUGUGGCGUGGAGCCUGUUGCGGCCGGCCUGGUGUCUCCUCCACCACGACACGCACACGCACACACACACACGCAUUUGCACACGCAUUGCACACGCAUUGCCCAUGCACGCAUGCGUCCGACGCUUUGUGUGUCGCUGCUUGCGUGUUCGUGUCAACACACACACACACAUAUGCACACACACACACACAGCUGGUGGACCUCAUGCGGCGGGAGCUGGCGGCGCAAGCGGCGGCCGAGGAGCCGUCGUCAGGCGGAGCCGGCAGGCCCGGCGGCGGCACCAGCACCAGCCAUGCCACUGGGCUGGCGGCGCUGGGCUUGGAGCUGGCGCCCAGCGGGCUGAGUGUGCGCCUGGCGGCGGAGGCGGCCGCCGCCGCGCCGCCCGGCAACCUCAGCGAGCAGAUGGAGGCGGAGGUGGUGGCGGCCGGCGGCGCGGCGGGCGUGGUGGUCAUACCUGCGGACAGCAGGUGGGGCUGCUGGCGGGAGGGUGCCGUGUGCGGGCUGUAUGCUGCUUGUGUGUGUGUGUGUGUGUGUUGGAGGCCGGGGGUAUACAUACCAGGAGCACCCAAAUGCUGCAGCCUGGAUUGCCUCAUCCAUGCACCGAUACCAUGUCAACCCCAAACAAACCCCGCCCGCCCCGCCUCACCAUGCCUCACCACGCCUCACCACGUCGCCACCCCCCCCCAGCCUGCCGCUGCGUGAGGAGCGGCUGUCGGUGCGCACCCCGCUGCUGGCCGGCGUGGCGGCACUGCUGGGCUGCCCCUCGCCCGCACACGUGCUGCAGUGGGGCCGAGUGGGGCACAAGGCCACAGUCGCACGCGACCCGCGGGGUGGCGGAGAGACGGAGGCGGCGGCGGAGGGGGCGGGCCAGGCUGGGGCGCCGGGCGCCGCACCCGGUCCAAUGGAGGCGACUGGUGAGGGCGGAGAGCCGGCACCCAUGGACGAAGGUGUGAGACCGGGCUCGGGUCCGCUUUACCGGCGGCGCGCAGCAUGAAACCACACGACCCCUUUGCCAGUCGCCGUGUUCGCCGCAUGCCCUAGUACCGCCGCAUGCCCUAGUACCGCCUAAUCAACACGUCCCUCUAUGCUACCCCCCUCACCUGCAGGCGGCUCCUGGCGGCUGGCCGAGACGCUGAGCAGCGCCCCCGGCGGCCUCGUGCCGGCGCACCAGCCGCAGCCGCAGCCGCAGCCACAAAGCGGAGAGAACGAGACGCCCGCGCCUGGCACCGGCGCCGCAGGCGCAACUGGCACCGCCCUGGACACCAAUGCCGCUCCUGCGGCUGCUGGUCGUGUUGGCGGCGGCGGCGGCGGCGGCGCCAGCCAUGCAGCGGCGGCGGGCGAGAUGCGGCCGCCCGCGCCACGCCGCACCACGUCAGUCGGCUCGCAGCAGUCCAUCCAGCUGCAGCAGCCGCCGCGCCACGCGCAGCAGAAGAGCGCGGCGGCGGUGGAGGGCGGCGAGGGAGACAGCGCGGCGGUACGAAGCCCGGAGCCGUCCGUCUUCUCUGCGCCGGCCGCCGCGGCCGCGCCGCGGGCGCAGCAGCAGCAGCAACCACAGGGCAGCGCGUCAGGUGCCGCGCGGAGCGCAGGAGGUGGCGGCGGCGGUGGCGGCGUUACCACCAGUGGUGUCAGUGGGGGCGGCGGCGGCAGUGCGGCGGUGCCGUUGGGCCCUCCGGCUGUGACGGCUGUGGCGUACCGCGUGGACUCCACAUUGACACUGGCGGUGCACCGGGGGCCGGCGGCCAUGGACUGGGAUGCGGACGGCAACGAAGGUGUGUCAGGCGUGGUGGAGGGCAGCGUGCGCAUCGGAGAAGCGGCUUAGGAUGCAGGGCUGGGGUUGCAUGGGGUCACCCCAUGUGGAGUACAUCUGUGUGUUGGUGCACAUCUUCAACAUUUGCUGUUGAUGCCCUCAUGCAGUGCGCGGGCCCGAGCGCGCCGACGUCUCCCCAACCACCAGCACCGCGCACCGGCAGGCUAACGCCGCCCACACCAGCGGCCACGCCGGCGCUGACAGCGCCACCCGGACGCAGCACCGCCACCCAGAGCACCACCACCACCACCACCACCCGCACCAGCACACGCAGCAGCCCGCGGCUGGUCCCACUUCACCUCUGGCCUCCGCCCCCACAAGCCCACGGCUGGAGGGCGGUGCCGCCGGCAUAGGUACCGGUGGCGGCGGCGGCGGCGGUGGCGGCGACGGUUCCUCCGUUCCGGCAGUACUGCACCCCACCUCCGUCACACUGCCCGAGCCCUCGCUCUACUCCCGCCUGCUGCUCCCGCCGCUGCCCGCACCCACGCCCGCCACCGCCACCGACACCGCCCGCGGCGACGACGCGCCCCUGCUCUACGACCCCUCCUCCGCUAUCCUCACCAUUGCUUUCGGACCAACCGCCGCCGCCGGGGCAGCCGCACCUGGCGGCGGCGGCGGAGCCGGCGGAGUCGUACUGCCGUGCCUAGCGAGCCAGCAGCUGAACGUACGUGCCACGUGGCUGGCGGGCCGGCCAGUGUACGGCGACGCGGUGGCGACCACGUGCCGCCAGAGCCCCACGCCGCACGUGCGCAAGAACCACCACGUGAUGAAGUGGCGGUCGUACGGCGCCGCGCAGUGGUGGGCCACGGCCGCCGCCGCCACGCCCGCCGCCGCCUACGUGCGCGCGCUGCACGCGCCGCUGCUGCUGCGGGGGCUGCCGCGGGAGUUCCGGUGAGCCGCGUGGCUAUCGAGAACUUCGGCAGCUAUGAGGACUUGGGAGUAGUUGGGCUAGGACGACGGCGAAGAGGGGAGGGUCCUUGGGAUCGUGCGCAGUUGCUGGCCUGCAUGCGUACCGGUAUGCGCACCCUAUGUGCGCAACAACCCCUGCUGCAUCACGCUUCAACAUCGUCACGCUCACACACCCCGUUGUGCUGCGACUCGGGUGCCCACCGCAGCGGCCCCUCCAGCUGGUUGGGCCCGCUGCCCCGCCAGCUGCUGGACGGCUACGUGGCCGCGCACCCACCGCCGCCAUGUGCAGGCGGGGGGGCGGGGGCGGCGACUGUGGCCGAGAUGGAGGCGGCGGCGCAGUACCGGGCGGCUGUGGGUGCCACUGUACAGAUUGACCUGGAGGUGGGUGGGCGUGUGUGUGUGUAUAUAUAUAAGGGAAACAGCAAGCGCGGGCGGGCGCGCGUGUGUGUAUACAUGUGUGUGUAUGUAUGUGGGUGGGUGUAGGUGGGGGGGUGUGGGUAUAUGACUGGGUUGUCUGUAAGGCUGGGCGCGUGGGGCUGUCUGCCGUGGAAGCUAGCAGGAGGUACGGAGAGACAGGUGUGACACGCCGGGCGGACGCCAAGGCCCAGUGAAACCUGCAACUGGUCUAGAGCCCCAGUCGCCGCACUUGCGCUUACUUGCAACACUGCCUUUCUCCUCCUGUCCUCCUCCUGCUCGUCCUCGUGCUCGUCCUGCCAGGUGCCAGAUGUGGACCUGCCGGGGGAGGGUGUGGCGGUGGUGAGGGGGACAAACUUCCUGGGUCUGCCGUACAAGGUGACUGCAGGUGAGCAAGUGGGGGCUUGGGGGUUUGGGGCUUGGGGUCCCGACCGCCGCCGCGCGCAUUGCUCUGCUGGCUCCACCGCACGUGGCGGUGCCGCGGCCACGCACAUUGCCAGCCCGUCGGCGUACAUACACAAUUGCUUGUGUUCGUCUCUGACACACACACACACACACAUUUGCAUUUGCCGUCAUGCAUGCGCCCAUGCCGUCCCCCGCCUGUUUACUUGCUCGUGGUCGCCCACCCUCCGUCUCUUUCCCAAAUCGCGCAACCCCUAAUAUAGUUAAUUGGGCUGGGACUGGGCUGCGUGUUUGCUCUUGCUAGUCGCGCGCCGCCGCGCUAACAUGUUCCUUCGCUCUUGUUCGUGACACUCCCCUGCUGCCACCCUGUGCUCUGUUGUUUUCUUAUUCGCUCGUAGGUGAGAAUUUCAUCGAGGAUUGGGCGGGAGCUUGGACUUAGCGGCCAGGAGUAGCGACGCGGAGCUAGGAAUCGUAGGAGUGCCUGGGCCUCACGGUACCGUGAGCACAUGCAUGGGUUUGCACCCUUGAGAGCGUGUGGACACUAAUCCCCCCUCGAGGUUAGAGUAGCGGGGGUUGCGCGAUUUCCGGUUGGUAAGACCGGCGGCUCACCGCAGCAGGUAUGCGAGGUAACUUCAGGUAACAUCCGUAAACCGUCGCUUUGCUGCAUCGCAUACACUGUCUUUGCGCAACGUUUUCCUUGUGCUCUUUAACACACACACACACACACACACACAGCACACACACACAUACACGACACACAUACACGCACGCACGCACGUUUCCGUGUGCAGGCCCCGCCCCGCUGGACCUGGCGGUGCAGCAGGCGGCUCUGGCGGCGCUGCACCAGCUGCAGCGCCUGGACGCCACAUGCCUCAACACGGGGCCACGGCUGGCGCACCAGGCCCCGCAGCCGCCGGGGCAAGGGGCUGGCGUGGCGCGCAUGGAGGCCGAGGGCAGGGCUGCUGCAGGCGGAGUGGGGGCGCCUGGUGAGGCGCCCGAGGAGGAGGACGAGGUGGAGGAGGUGGAGGUGGAGGGGGCUGCGGGUGUGCAGGUGCUGGAGGAGGGCCUGGCACACGCCCGCCAGCCCCGAGAGGGAUGCAUGGCCAAGGUGCGGCCGCGCAGGCGGCAGGAGGGGCGACGGUACUGGUAUGGGGUGCACGUGGCGAGUGGGGAGGACCCAGCUAGGGGGCAAUCCAUGUGCAGCCCGGAAAACAUACACGUCUUCAUUCAGCCCAGCGGCUGCCUCGCCCGCUGCGCUCCUUCCUCACUCUUGCGCGCAGGUGUCGUACACGCUGUACCUCACACACACGCACAGCCCCCGGCAGCCCCCUCACACUGCUGCCGGCCCCGAGCCCGCCGGGCCCAUCGCCUACACCACGGCCGCCGCUGGCGGGGCUGGCGGAAACAGCGGCGCCGCUUCUGCCGUCAAGACGAGGGCGGCGGCGGCGGCGGCUGCAGCCGCAGGUGUCGCUGACGUGGCCUCCGCCGGCGCCCUAGACGAGCAGCAGCAGCAGCAAGAUGUGGUAAUGGGCGGAGCCGCGGCAGGUGGCGGCGGCGUCAGUGGUGCGCCGUCGGGCUCGGGGUCGCCGUGUGGCUCGCCGGGCGGCGGCAGCAGUCGCUGUGUGGUGCUGGAGCAGCACGCCAGUCUGAGCCUGUGUGUGGGCGCCGGCGGCCGGGGCGCGGUGCCGCCGCAGCUGGAUGCGGCUCUGAGGCGGCUGCGAGUGGGCGGCCGAGCCCGCUUCAGGUGGGCGCAUUGCCUGCACUCAUUGCGCUUGCGCUGCUGCGCUGCAAGUCUAUCAACCUUCUUCGCGCGUUGUAACUUGCGAAACCUCGCCACCAACCCCCCCUACAC